UACGUAGGUGGCAAGCGUUGUCCGGAAUUAUUGGGCGUAAAGCGCGCGCAGGCGGUCCUUUAAGUCUGAUGUGAAAGCCCACGGCUCAACCGUGGAGGGUCAUUGGAAACUGGGGGACUUGAGUGCAGAAGAGGAAAGCGGAAUUCCACGUGUAGCGGUGAAAUGCGUAGAGAUGUAGAGGAACACCAGUGGCGAAGGCGGCUUUCUGGUCUGUAACUGACGCUGAGGCGCGAAAGCGUGGGGAGCAAACAGG
rnacentral:rRNA from 1 species